rnacentral:rRNA from 1 species
UACGUAGGGUGCGAGCGUUGUCCGGAAUUAUUGGGCGUAAAGGGCUCGUAGGCGGUUUGUCACGUCGGGAGUGAAAACUCGGGGCUUAACCCCGAGCCUGCUUCCGAUACGGGCUGACUAGAGGUAUGCAGGGGAGAACGGAAUUCCUGGUGUAGCGGUGAAAUGCGCAGAUAUCAGGAGGAACACCGGUGGCGAAAGCGGGUCUCUGGGCAGUAACUGACGCUGAGGAGCGAAAGCGUGGGGAGCGAACAGG